AUUGAACGCUGGCGGCAGGCUUAACACAUGCAAGUCGAGCGAGCGGAGGACGGGUGAGUAAUGUCUGGGAAACUGCCUGAUGGAGGGGGAUAACUACUGGAAACGGUAGCUAAUACCGCAUAACAUCAGAUGUGCCCAGAUGGGAUUAGCUAGUAGGUGGGGUAAUGGCUCACCUAGGCGACGGUCCCUAGCUGGUGUGAGAGGAUGACCAGCAACACUGGAACUGAGACACGGUCCAGACUCCUACGGGAGGCAGCAGUGGGGAAUAUUGCACAAUGGGCGCAAGCCUGAUGCAGCCAUGCCGCGUGUGUGAAGAAGGCCUUCGGGUUGUAAAGCACUUUCAUCGAGGAGGCGUUACUCGCAGAAGAAGCACCGGCUAACUCCGUGCCAGCAGCCGCGGUAAUAC
rnacentral:rRNA from 1 species